GACGAACGCUGGCGGCGUGCCUAAUACAUGCAAGUAGAACGCUGAAGCGAGGAGCUUGCUCUUCUUGGCUGAGUUGCGAACGGGUGAGUAACGCGUAGGUAACCUGCCUUGUAGCGGGGGAUAACUAUUGGAAACGAUAGCUAAUACCGCAUAACAAUGGAUGACACAUGUCAUUUAUUUGAAAGGGGCAAUUGCUCCACUACAAGAUGGACCUGCGUUGUAUUAGCUAGUAGGUGAGGUAAUGGCUCACCUAGGCGACGAUACAUAGCCGACCUGAGAGGGUGAUCGGCCACCCCGGGACUGAGACACGGCCCAGACUCCUACGGGAGGCAGCAGUAGGGAAUCUUCGGCAAUGGGGGCAACCCUGACCGAGCAACGCCGCGUGAGUGAAGAAGGGUGUCGGGUCGUAAAGCUCUGUUGUAAGUCAAGAACGGGUGUGAGAGUGGAAAGUUCACACUGUGACGGUAGCUGACCAGAAAGGGACGGCUAACUACGUG
rnacentral:rRNA from 1 species